rnacentral:rRNA from 1 species
UGGGAAUUUUGGACAAUGGGCGCAAGCCUGAUCCAGCCAUGCCGCGUGCGGGAAGAAGGCCUUCGGGUUGUAAACCGCUUUUGUCAGGGAAGAAAUCUUCUGAGUUAAUACCUCGGGAGGAUGACGGUACCUGAAGAAUAAGCACCGGCUAACUACGUGCCAGCAGCCGCGGUAAUACGUAGGGUGCAAGCGUUAAUCGGAAUUACUGGGCGUAAAGCGUGCGCAGGCGGUUUUGUAAGACAGAGGUGAAAUCCCCGGGCUCAACCUGGGAACUGCCUUUGUGACUGCAAGGCUUGAGUGCGGCAGAGGGGGAUGGAAUUCCGCGUGUAGCAGUGAAAUGCGUAGAUAUGCGGAGGAACACCGAUGGCGAAGGCAAUCCCCUGGGCCUGCACUGACGCUCAUGCACGAAAGCGUGGGGAGCAAAACAGGAUUAGAUACCCUGGUAGUCCACGCCCUAAAACGAUGUCAACUGGUUGUUGGGAAGGUUCCUUCUCAGUAACGUAGCCAACGCGUGAAAGUUGACCGCCUGGGGAGUACGGCCGCAAGGUUGAAACUU